UGGGGAAUUUUGGAUAAUGGGCGAAAGCCUGAUCCAGCCAUGCCGCGUGAGUGAAGAAGGCCUUCGGGUUGUAAAGCUCUUUUAGUCGGAAAGAAAGAGUUGCAAUGAAUAAUUGUGAUUUAUGACGGUACCGACAGAAAAAGCACCGGCUAACUACGUGCCAGCAGCCGCGGUAAUACGUAGGGUGCGAGCGUUAAUCGGAAUUACUGGGCGUAAAGGGUGCGCAGGCGGUCUUGCAAGUCAGAUGGGAAAGCCCCGGGCUUAACCUGGGAAUUGCGUUUGAAACUACAAGACGAGAGUGCAGCAGAGGGGAGUGGAAUUCCAUGUGUAGCAGUGAAAUGCGUAGAGAUGUGGAAGAACACCGAUGGCGAAGGCAGCUCCCUGGGUUGACACUGACGCUCAUGCACGAAAGCGUGGGGAGCAAACA
rnacentral:rRNA from 1 species